rnacentral:misc_RNA from 1 species
AUAGCCAUUUGAGGAAGGAAAAUUAUCAGUGUAUUUGGAAAAGGGUUCAGAAGAAUGAUGCUGGUGUAAGCAACUGUGACUCGGAAAAGUUAAACUUAGGUUUCUCACAGCUCGACGAUAGGUUGAAAAAGAAUACAUCGAAGAAAAAGUUUCCUAAUCCUGUUGAUUCUAUCAUAUUAUCACAAUCAGUCCACGAAAAUCAGGAAAAGCUGAAAGCCCCUAAAAACCCCAGAAGACACAAGUAUCCAGGCUCAUUGCAGGAGAAUGAAAGUCAAUGUGGAAAAGGAUCUCCAGUUAAUGGAGACUGUUCAAAUGCUUGUUUGAAGACUAACAUGCAAUCAGACGGUAUAUCUGGUUCACCAAGCCAAGUAGCUUCAGCAAAAAGAUCAAUAAAUGUAGCAGAUUCUCAAACUAGAACAAGUUCUUUUAGGACUAGAUACAAGGAAAGGAAUGUUCAGUAUGUCCCUUUAAAACCAAACCCGAAUCCCA